UACAGAGGUCUCAAGCGUUGUUCGGAUUCAUUGGGCGUAAAGGGUGCGUAGGUGGCGCCGUAAGUGGGGUGUGAAAUCUCGGGGCUUAACUCCGAAACUGCAUUCCAUACUGCGGUGCUCGAGGACUGGAGAGGAGACUGGAAUUCAUGGUGUAGCAGUGAAAUGCGUAGAGAUCAUGAGGAAGACCAGUGGCGAAUGCGGGUCUCUGGACAGUUCCUGACACUGAGGCACGAAGGCCAGGGGAGCAAACGGG
rnacentral:rRNA from 1 species